rnacentral:miRNA from 1 species
AGAUGAGAGAGAGAGAGAGAGAGAGAGAGAGAGAGAGAGAGAUAGAUUUGGGGGUGGAAUGUUUCCUACCUCUGGUUUAUAUUUAUCACUUUCUAUUCUGUGCUUCAGAACACUCUAGUACAUUAUAGUGAAAACUGAUAUUAGCUAUUGUGAAUGACUCUCUCUCUCUCUCUCUCUCUCUCUCUCUGAACUAAGUCGAUGU